UUGUGUAUAUUUUUGGUUAUUGCCUUGGCUGUUAUCCACUACCACAAGCAGCUGCAAGAUUAAACAACUGUCUUUAAUUGUGAUUACCAUCUCCUGUGGAAAGUCUCUUCACACUGGGUAAACGUUGAGUCAGAUCAAAUAAAGGCAGGCUUCCUAGUGAAAGUGGGGUUUUUCAGAGCCACCAGAUGGGUCAAAUAACCACAUUUCUCUGGUAGUGAGUAAAGAUGGAGCUCCAACCUAGUUUUGCCACCUCCAGUGGCUGUCAGUUGCUGGUUUUAUUGUAGUUGCAGCUGUUGGAUUAGAGGCAACCACAGUCACAGAGAUGGGUGGAUGGAAAUAAGAUAAAACACCACAAAGCUAUUUGUUCUUAUACAGCUUCAGUCAUUUUUUCCUUGAAAAAAUUUCUCCUGAAUUGCUGCCUACCUUUGGUUAUUCGGGAGCACUGACAAAGUUAAUUCUGACAAUUUUUGCCAAUCUUCUUGUUGGUUUUAUGGAGGAGAAAAUUUUCAAGAGUACUUUGUCAUUUCUGCUGACUCUAUUGGGUCUUUUUUUUUUUUUUCGAGGAAGAUUAGCUCUGAGCUAACUGCUGCCAAUCCUCCUCUUUUUACUGAGGAAGACUGGCCCUGAGCUAACAUCUGUGCCCAUCUUCCUCUACUUUAUAUGUGGGACGCCUACCACAGCAUGGCUUUUGCCAAGCGGUGCCAUGUCCACACCCGGGAUCCGAACCAGCGAACCCCGGGCCAGCAAAGCAGAACAUGCGAACUUAACCUCUGUGCCUCCAGGCUCAGCCACUAUUGGGUCUUAACCCUGGUUUGGACUGUGAACUUUGUCUUCUGUCCUCGACACCCCACGAGAAACACAAAGCUGAAGUUUGCCUGAUAAUACCAAUGCUGUUAAGUUCUGGAAGUCAGAGUCCAAAAUUAGUUCCACUUGGCUGAAAUCAAGAUUGCUGAAAUUAAGAUGACAUGAUCCGAUAUACAGAAAACCCUAAGGAAUCCACAAAGUAACUGUCAAAACUUGUAAAAGGACUUCAGUAACAUUGCAAGACAAAAGAUUGAUAUACAAAACAGGUAUAUAUUUAUUUUGAGGAAGAUUAGCCCUGAGCUAACAUCUGCCACCAAUCUUCCUCUUUUUUUUUGCUGAGGAAGACUGGCCAUGAGCUAAUAUCUGUGCCCAUCCUUCUCUACUUUAUAUGUGGGAUGCCUGCCACAGCAUGGCUUGCCAAGCGGUGCAUAGGUCUGCACCUGGAAUCCGAGCUGGCGAACCCCGAGCCACAGAAGCAGAAUGUGUGACCUUAUCUGCUGUGCCACUGGGCUGGCCCCCAAAACAAGGUAUAUUUUUAUGUAACAACUGUGAACAAUCUGAAAAUGAAAUUAAGGCAACAAUCCCGUUUACAAACAUCAAAAUAAUAAAAUACUUAAGAAUAAAUUUCACAAAAGAAGUUCAGACUUAUACAAUGAAAACUACAAAAUAUCUUUGAACAAAAUUACAAAUGAACUAAAUAAAUGGAAAGACACCUCAAGGUCAUGGAUUGAAAGGCUUAAUAUUAUUAUAAUGGCAUACUGCUCAAAUUGAUUGAUGGGUUCAGUGCAUUCCCUAUCAGAAUCCCAGGUGGCUUUCUUGCAGAAAUUUGACAAACUGAUACUGAAGUUCCUAAGGAAAUGCAAUGGACCCAGAAUAACCAA
rnacentral:lncRNA from 1 species